rfam:Chania multitudinisentens RB-25, complete genome.
CCAGAUCUCUAUCGUUUCUUACGGUAAAGAAAAACCAGCAGUUCUGGGCCACGACGAAGCGGCUUGGGCUAAAAACCGUCGUGCUGUUCUGGUUUACUAAGAGAAUGGUAUGAACAGUAACUUCAGACGUCACUUGCUG